rnacentral:misc_RNA from 1 species
GCAAACUUGGUCAUUUAGAGGAAGUAAAAGUCGUAACAAGGUUUCCGUAGGUGAACCUGCGGAAGGAUCAUUAUUGAAUAAACCUGAUAGGUUGUCGCUGGCUUCUUAGAAGCAUGUGCACGCCUGUCAUCUUUAUCCAUCCACCUGUGCACCUCCUGUAGUCUCGGAGUGAUAAGCAUGUGAAGGAAGACCUGUCAAGGGGCUUCUGAGAGUGCGGCUAACUCCCAAUAUCUCUCUACUCGUGCAAGUCCUUCGGGCCUAUGUCCUCUUUCAUACACCAUGUAAAAUGUCACAGAAUGCUUUAUAAUUGGCCUUAGUGCCUAUAAAAACGUAAUACAACUUUCAGCAACGGAUCUCUUGGCUCUCGCAUCGAUGAAGAACGCAGC